rnacentral:rRNA from 1 species
AGAGUUUGAUCAUGGCUCAGGAUGAACGCUAGCGGCAGGCUUAAUACAUGCAAGUCGAGGGGCAACAGGGGUAGCAAUACCUGCUGGCGACCGGCAACCGGGUGCGCAACACGUACAGAACCUUCCUUUAAGCGGGGGAUAGCCCAUAGAAAUGUGGAUUAAUACCCCAUGGUAUUAUCAGGUGGCAUCAUUUGAUAAUUAAAGAUUUAUCACUUGGAGAUGGCUGUGCGUCUGAUUAGGUAGUUGGUUGGGGUAAUGGCCCACCAAGCCUUCGAUCAGUAACUGGUGUGAGAGCACGACCAGUCACACGGGCACUGAGACACGGGCCCGACUCCUACGGGAGGCAGCAGUAAGGAAUAUUGGUCAAUGGAGGCAACUCUGAACCAGCCAUGCCGCGUGAAGGAUGAAGGUCCUCUGGAUUGUAAACUUCUUUUAUGUGGGAAGAAAUGCAUUUUUUAUAGAGUGUUUGACGGUACCAUAGGAAUAAGCACCGGCUAACUCCGUGCCAGCAGCCGCGGUAAUACGGAGGGUGCGAGCGUUAUCCGGAUUCACUGGGUUUAAAGGGUGCGUAGGUGGGGAAGUAAGUCAGUGGUGAAAUCUCCGUGCUUAACAUGGAAACUGCCAUUGAUACUAUUUUUCUUGAAUUUUCCGGAGGUUAGCGGAAUAUGUCAUGUAGCGGUGAAAUGCUUAGAUAUGACAUAGAACACCAAUUGCGAAGGCAGCUAACUACAGGGAUAUUGACACUGAGGCACGAAAGCGUGGGGAUCAAACAGGAUUAGAUACCCCUGUAGUCC